rnacentral:rRNA from 1 species
GGCUCAGGAUGAACGCUGGCGGCGUGCCUAAUACAUGCAAGUCGAGCGAACAGACGAGGAGCUUGCUCCUCUGACGUUAGCGGCGGACGGGUGAGUAACACGUGGAUAACCUACCUAUAAGACUGGGAUAACUUCGGGAAACCGGAGCUAAUACCGGAUAAUAUAUUGAACCGCAUGGUUCAAUAGUGAAAGACGGUUUUGCUGUCACUUAUAGAUGGAUCCGCGCCGCAUUAGCUAGUUGGUAAGGUAACGGCUUACCAAGGCAACGAUGCGUAGCCGACCUGAGAGGGUGAUCGGCCACACUGGAACUGAGACACGGUCCAGACUCCUACGGGAGGCAGCAGUAGGGAAUCUUCCGCAAUGGGCGAAAGCCUGACGGAGCAACGCCGCGUGAGUGAUGAAGGUCUUCGGAUCGUAAAACUCUGUUAUUAGGGAAGAACAAAUGUGUAAGUAACUAU